UACAGAGGGUGCAAGCGUUGUUCGGAUUUACUGGGCGUAAAGGGCGCGUAGGCGGCCACUGCAAGUCAGUUGUGAAAUCUCCGGGCUUAACUCGGAAAGGUCAACUGAUACUGCAGGGCUAGAGUGCAGAAGGGGCAAUCGGAAUUCUUGGUGUAGCGGUGAAAUGCGCAGAUAUCAGGAGGAACACCGGUGGCGAAGGCGGGUCUCUGGGCCGUAACUGACGCUGAGGCGCGAAAGCCAGGGGAGCAAACGGG
rnacentral:rRNA from 1 species